UCCUACGGGAGGCAGCAGUGGGGAAUAUUGGACAAUGGGCCACAAGUCUGAUCCAGCAAUUCUGUGUGCACGAUGACGUUUUUCGGAAUGUAAAGUGCUUUCAGUCGGGAAGAAGUCAGUGACGGUACCGACAGAAGAAGCGACGGCUAAAUACGUGCCAGCAGCCGCGGUAAUACGUAUGUCGCAAGCGUUAUCCGGAUUUAUUGGGCGUAAAGCGCGUCUAGGCGGCAAGGAAAGUCUGAUGUGAAAACGCGGAGCUCAACUCCGUAUGGCGUUGGAAACUGCCUUACUAGAGUACUGGAGAGGUAGGCGGAACUACAAGUGUAGAGGUGAAAUUCGUAGAUAUUUGUAGGAAUGCCGAUGGGGAAGCCAGCCUACUGGACAGAUACUGACGCUAAAGCGCGAAAGCGUGGGUAGCAAACAGGAUUAGAUACCCUGGUAGUCC
rnacentral:rRNA from 1 species